UGGGGAAUCUUGCGCAAUGGCCGAAAGACUGACGCAGCGACGCCGCGUGGAGGAUGACGCCCUUCGGGGUGUAAACUCCUGUUGCCCGGGACGAAUACCCGUUUCGACGGGGGUGACGGUACCGGGUGAGGAAGCACCGGCUAACUCUGUGCCAGCAGCCGCGGUAAUACAGAGGGUGCGAGCGUUGUUCGGAUUUACUGGGCGUAAAGGGCGCGUAGGCGGCGCGGUAAGUCACUUGUGAAAUCUCUGAGCUUAACUCAGAACGGCCAAGUGAUACUGCUGUGCUAGAGUGCAGGAGAGGAGAGUGGAAUUCCUAGUGUAGCGGUGAAAUGCGUAGAGAUUAGGAAGAACACCAGUGGCGAAGGCGACUCUCUGGACUGUAACUGACGCUGAGGCUCGAAAGCGUGGGGAGCAAACA
rnacentral:rRNA from 1 species